rnacentral:rRNA from 1 species
ACGUAUGUCCCAAGCGUUACCCGGAAUCACUGGGUGUAAAGGGUUUGUAGGCCGAAAUUUAAGUCGGGUAUGAAAGACCGAAGCUCAACUUCGUGUUUGUAUUCGAAACUGAAUUUCUAGAAUCAGGGAGAGGUAAGCGGAAUUCUAAGUGUAGGGGUGCAAUCCGUAGAUACUUAGAGGAACACCAAAAGCGAAGGCAGCUUACUGGAACUGUAUUGACGCUCAUGAACGAAAGCGUGGGUAGCGAAAAG